ACAUCUAGGAAGUGAGAAGCGUCUCUGCCCGGCCGCCCAUCGUCUGAGAUGUGGGGAGCGCCUCUGUCCCGCCGCCCCGUCUGGGAGGUGAGGAGCGCCUCUGCCCGGCCGCGACCCCGUCUGGGAGGUGAAGAGCGUCUCUGCCCGGCCGCCCCGUCUGAGAAGUGAGGAGCCCCUCCGCCCGGCAGCCGCCCUGUCUGAGAAAAAUCAUCCAUGACUUCCUGCAAUGGAAGAUGAGGACACAGCUAAGUAUGAACAUUCAUCUUUUGAGGGCCACACAGGCACAAAUGUUACAGCUACAAGAGGAAAGAAGGUCACAACUGAGGAAAAGGGGCUGAGGGAACUCAAAAAAUACUGCAACUGGCAACAGAGACCACCAUCAAGGGAUAAAAUUACUUCAGCACCUACACACAAAACGCAGAGCAGCUGGAGAAAGGGGCAUGGGAAAAAAAGGCUGCUCAAGAGCAAACCUGAAGACCCUGUUUAUUAGCCAUUUCUCUCCCUGCAAGUGACUGGCAAUCCAUUUUGACUGAACUUGGGAUUCUGAGAUGCUCCGAAUGCCCUCUCUGGUGUUUUU
ensembl:lncRNA novel transcript, antisense to TLN2